ACGAACGCUGGCGGCGUGCUUAACACAUGCAAGUCGAGCGGUAAGGCCCUUUCGGGGGUACACGAGCGGCGAACGGGUGAGUAACACGUGGGUGACCUGCCCUCAGCUCUGGGAUAAGCCUGGGAAACCGGGUCUAAUACCGGAUAUGACUCCAUGACGCAUGUUGUGGGGUGGAAAGCCUUGUGCGGCUGAGGAUGGGCCCGCGGCCUAUCAGCUUGUUGGUGGGGUGAUGGCCCACCAAGGCGACGACGGGUAGCCGGCCUGAGAGGGCGACCGGCCACACUGGGACUGAGACACGGCCCAGACUCCUACGGGAGGCAGCAGUGGGGAAUCUUGCGCAAUGGGCGAAAGCCUGACGCAGCGACGCCGCGUGAGGGAUGACGGCCUGGUGUAAC
rnacentral:rRNA from 1 species